AGAAUCAACGCUGGCGGCGCGCUUAACACAUGCAAGUCGAACGAGAAAGGGGAGCAAUCUCUGAGUACAGUGGCGUACGGGUGAGUAACACGUGGAUGAUCUACCUCUUAGUGGGGGAUAUCUCUGGGAAACUAGAGUUAAUACCGCAUAAGCUCGAGAGAGGAAACCCUGUAAGGGGGCUGAGAGAGGAGUCCGCGGCCGAUUAGCUAGUUGGUAGGGUAAAAGCCUACCAAGGCGUAGAUCGGUA
rnacentral:rRNA from 1 species